rnacentral:rRNA from 1 species
UGGGGAAUAUUGGACAAUGGGGGGAACCCUGAUCCAGCCAUGCCGCGUGUGUGAAGAAGGCCUUAUGGUUGUAAAGCACUUUAAGCGAGGAGGAGGGUACUGGUAUUAAUACUACCAGGUACUGGACGUUACUCGCAGAAUAAGCACCGGCUAACUCUGUGCCAGCAGCCGCGGUAAUACAGAGGGUGCGAGCGUUAAUCGGAUUUACUGGGCGUAAAGCGUGCGUAGGCGGCUAAUUGAGUCGGAUGUGAAAUCCCCGAGCUUAACUUGGGAAUGGCAUUCGAUACUGGUUAGCUAGAGUAGGGCAGAGGGUGGUGGAAUUUCCUGUGUAGCGGAGAAAUGCGUAGAUAUAGGAAGGAACACCAGUGGCGAAGGCGACCACCUGGGCUCAUACUGACACUGAGGUGCGAAAGCGUGGGGAGCAAACAGG